GAAACGACAUCGAAAGCUUGCUUUUGAUGGGCGUCGACCGGCGCACGGGUGAGUAACGCGUAUCCAACCUGCCCACCACUUGGGGAUAACCUUGCGAAAGUAAGACUAAUACCCAAUGACGUCUCUAGAAGACAUCUGAAGGAGAUUAAAGAUUUAUCGGUGAUGGAUGGGGAUGCGUCUGAUUAGCUUGUUGGCGGGGUAACGGCCCACCAAGGCUACGAUCAGUAGGGGUUCUGAGAGGAAGGUCCCCCACAUUGGAACUGAGACACGGUCCAAACUCCUACGGGAGGCAGCAGUGAGGAAUAUUGGUCAAUGGACGAGAGUCUGAACCAGCCAAGUAGCGUGCAGGAUGACGGCCCUAUGGGUUGUAAACUGCUUUUAUAAGGGAAUAAAGUGAGUCUCGUGAGACUUUUUGCAUGUACCUUAUGAAUAAGGACCGGCUAAUUCCGUGCCAGCAGCCGCGGUAAUACGGAAGGUCCGGGCGUUAUCCGGAUUUAUUGGGUUUAAAGGGAGCGUAGGCCGGAGAUUAAGCGUGUUGUGAAAUGUAGAUGCUCAACAUCUGCACUGCAGCGCGAACUGGUUUCCUUGAGUACGCACAAAGUGGGCGGAAUUCGUGGUGUAGCGGUGAAAUGCUUAGAUAUCACGAAGAACUCCGAUUGCGAAGGCAGCUCACUGGAGCGCAACUGACGCUGAAGCUCGAAAGUGCGGGUAUCGAACAGGAUUAGAUACCCUGGUAGUCCGCACGGGAAACGAUGGAUGCCCGCUGUUGGUCUGAAUAGGUCAGCGGCC
rnacentral:rRNA from 1 species